rnacentral:rRNA from 1 species
UACGGAGGGUGCGAGCGUUGUCUGGAAUCAUUGGGCGUAAAGGGCGCGUAGGUGGCGGGACAAGCGUGCGGUGAAAGCCUGGGGCUCAACCCCGGGUCGGCCGUGCGAACUGUUUUGCUUGAGCACUGUAGAGGCAGGCGGAAUUCCGGGUGUAGCGGUGGAAUGCGUAGAGAUCCGGAAGAACACCGGUGGCGAAGGCGGCCUGCUGGGCAGUAGCUGACACUGAGGCGCGACAGCGUGGGGAGCAAACAGG